rnacentral:rRNA from 1 species
UACGUAGGGGGCAAGCGUUGUCCGGAAUCAUUGGGCGUAAAGCGCGUGUAGGCGGUCCGGUAAGUCCGCUGUGAAAGUCGGGGGCUCAACCCUCGGAUGCCGGUGGAUACUGUCGGGCUUGAGUACGGAAGAGGCGAGUGGAAUUCCUGGUGUAGCGGUGAAAUGCGCAGAUAUCAGGAGGAACACCAAUUGCGAAGGCAGCUCGCUGGGCCGUUACUGACGCUGAGACGCGAAAGCGUGGGGAGCAAACAGG